rnacentral:rRNA from 1 species
UACGGAGGGUGCAAGCGUUAUCCGGAUUCACUGGGUUUAAAGGGUGCGUAGGUGGGUUGGUAAGUCAGUGGUGAAAUCUCCGAGCUUAACUUGGAAACUGCCAUUGAUACUAUCAGUCUUGAAUACCGUGGAGGUCAGCGGAGUAUGUCAUGUAGCGGUGAAAUGCUUAGAUAUGACAUAGAACACCAAUUGCGAAGGCAGCUGACUACGCGAAUAUUGACACUGAUGCACGAAAGCGUGGGGAUCAAACAGG